rnacentral:rRNA from 1 species
CGGACUGGUGAGUAACGCGUGGGCGACCUACCUUGAGGAUGGGGACAGCCGCUAGAAAUAGCGGGUAAUACCGAAUAAUGCUGCCGGGCCAUGGCCUGGCAGGGAAAGGGGCUUCGGCCCCGCCUUGAGAUGGGCCCGCGUCCCAUUAGCUAGUUGGCGGGGCAAGGGCCCACCAAGGCGAUGAUGGGUAGCCGGCCUGAGAGGGUGAACGGCCACACUGGGACUGAGAUACGGCCCAGACUCCUACGGGAGGCAGCAGCUAAGAAUAUUCCGCAAUGGGCGAAAGCCUGACGGAGCGACGCCGCGUGGGUGAAGAAGGCCGAAAGGUUGUAAAGCCCUUUUGCGGGCGAAGAAUAAGCGGGGCAGGGAAUGGCCCCGCGAUGACGUUAGCCCGUGAAUAAGCCCCGGCUAAUUACGUGCCAGCAGCCGCGGUAACACGUAAGGGGCGAGCGUUGUUCGGAAUUAUUGGGCGUAAAGGGCGCGUAGGCGGCCCUGCAAGUCUGGCGUGAAAGGCAAGGGCUCAACCCUUGGACUGCGCUAGAUACUGCUGGGCUAGAGUCAUGGAGGGGGAGCUGGAAUUCCUGGUGUAGGGGUGAAAUCUGUAGAUAUCAGGAAGAACACCGGUGGCGAAGGCGAGCUUCUAGCCAAUGACUGACGCUGAGGCGCGAAAGUGCGGGGAGCAAACAGGAUUAGAUACCCUGGUAGUCCGCACUAUAAACGAUGUGCACUAGGUGUUGGGGCGAGCGUCUCAGUGCCGGAGCGAACGCGAUAAGUGCACCGCCUGGGGGAGUAUGCCCGCA